CGUCCUGUUGUAAGCCAAGGUUUUGGAGCAACUAUUCGAGCCAUUAAUAGUAUAGAAUGCAAUGGUGGAAACGCAGGUGCUGUUCAGGCUCGUGUUAGAUAUUAUAGAGAUUAUUGCAGUCAACUCGGCGUUUCUACUGAGAAUAACCUCACUUGCUAGGUUUUUAAAUAACCUGAGUUGUUAUGCCAAGUUAUGGCUAAUCAUAUGAAAAUAAGAUGUACUGCUAUGAAACAAAUUGAAGAGAAAUAAAGUUUAUAAUUAUCGUUAUGUCUCGUAUAGUUUUUCAGUAAUUUUGAUGUCCCUUUUCAUAUUUGUUUUUAUUACUUGGAAAAACCUCCACUUUACUUCGCCAUAAAUUUGUGUUGAAAUUCAAUUUACGCCUUGUACGUAUUUUAUUUUCCAUCAAUUGAGUCCAUUAUAACCAAAAGAUUGUCCAUCCAACCCAAUAUAUUAGCAAUUUGAAAUUGAAAUCACUAUAUGUGUGCAUAUUCAUUUAAUUUAUUCUUCCAUUUCCAUAAUACAUUUUUCAAAUUUAUGUUAAUAUCCAUAGUAGGAUCUACUCUAAUUAAUUACUUCUCGAGUAAAACAAAAUUUCAUGAUUAUGACAUUUUUUCUUUUUAUGUUUUUGAAAAUGAAAGGUUGUGUUGCCUUGCCUAUUAUGUUUAUAAUACAUGUUCAGCUUACUUUUCAUCUUUCAAAUUUGGUUGAUGCAGAGUGUUUUUUAAAAUGAUUUUUAUUUAAAAAUAUAUUAAAAUUAUAUUUUAUUUUUCAUAUUAGUAUAUUCAAACAAUAAAAAAAACUUUUUCAAAAACAAAUUAAAAUUUAAAAAAUACAGUGCAACCGCACUUCUAAACAACACCGAAGUUAAAAAGAAACUAAGUUGUGGUUUUUUAGAUGUUAAGAGCCUAUUUGAGAACACGGUGUAAACCACAUUCUUUUAAAUUUAAAAAAAAUUGCUAAAAUUUAUUUUUUUAUGUCUUGAGAUUUUUUAAUGUGUUAAUGUUAAAAUAAUUUUAAAAAUUAAAAAAUAAAAAAUAUAUAUUUUUUAAAAAACAACUUUAGACUGCAACAACUAUUGAAAUUUUAAACAGUCCAUAAGAAAUUGAAUUGAAUUGUACAGGAUCUUUGCCAUGGAAUCACUAUUGGGAUUAUUUAGUGGUUCAAAAUCAUGUUGAGCUAGCCGACGUUGAAAAUCAUCAAUAUUAAUGGAGAGACUUUUCAAAGAAGUUGUCAAGUCCAUUUCUGACAUGAUAGCAAUUAUGGAUUGGGGUCCAUGUCCAUGUACCAACAUUGUAUAGAUCAUGAACCAAGUUUAAUGUCAAAGGAUCGAUUUGCCAGGAAAAAAAAAUUGAAAAAUGAAAAAUUAGGCAACUUGCUGUGAUUUCCUUUUGCUUCCCUAUUAUCGUAUUGUUCGGCGGUGCUAGGCCAUGUGCUUGGCUCACUUGACCGGCAGCACUAUAUGUUGACCAAAGCAAAUAUGAUCUUUUCCAAGAUAUACGAUAUGGCCGCAGUGUGGUCAAAUAUCUUGGUAGUGUUGAUUAAUGGAGAGCUAAAGCCACAGCCCACCCAUUUCUUAUCCACCUAGCCAGAUGAGGAAGAAACGAUGGCUCCUAUUUUACUUAUUUUUCAGCUGCAAGAGCUGAGUUGUAGUAAGGUGGAAUGAGUUGACAUGACAUGUGUUGGAAUGAGCUGUAUCUAUCCCAACUCGUUGCAUGUUUUGGUUAUAAAAUCUUUUUAAAAGUAUUUCUAAGUUUUUUUUUGUUAUAUAUUUUUAAUUUUUAUUAAUUUUUUAGUGUUUUAAAAUUAUUUUGAUGUAUCGAUAUUAUAAAAAAAAUUUAAAAAAUAAAAAUUUAUUAUUUUAAUGUAUUUUUAAAUAAAAUAUACUUUUAAAAACAAAAUUUAAAUUAGCAGUAAAAACACAACAUAAAUGUGACAAAACACAGUGAGCUAAACACCAAGAGAAAGAGUGUUUAUCCAACCUAGUUAAAUCUUAGGCGUCGAUUCUGGGCAUCCAUUUUAAUCCUGACCGUUAGCUACAAAAACUGGAAAAAGAAAGGAGCACUAGAAGACGGCUUCAGUUUUAUCUUUUUCUAUCCUUUCAUUUAUGGUACGUUGAAAGGUUGUCUUCUCUAUCUUAAAAAUAUAUAGGGAGGGGACGUAGAUUUCGGGUAAUUGGCUAGUCAACGUCGGCUAUGCCCAUACUGUGCCAUUGGGCGCCACUAUCCUUCCAUUUAUGGUAAUUGACUAUUCAACGUUUUUCUUUUCACAUAGUUGUGGGGUGUCUACUCUUCGAAUGGGGUUCUUCUAGUCCUAGAUAGGAUACUACCUUUUCUUUCGUUAGGAGAUAGGAUUUGUCAUACUUUUUCCCUUCAAAUGCUGAAAUUAUUAAAAAAUAAUAUAAAUUAAAUCUCAUUUAAUAACUUAAAUUUUUUGAUUGAAAUGAUUUUUUGAUAUUUUUAAAUUUUUUGAUUGAAAUGAUUUUUUGAUAUAAUAUCAAUACUUUGAUAACUAAAUGGUCACGAGUUUGAAUUUCACAAUCUCUAUUUAUUUGAUAAAAAUUAAACACAGGAUAAUGUAGACAUGUAUAAGUUUUAAGCUCAAAAGACUUUUAUAUGAGGGAAUGUGUUAGAAAAUAAUAUAAAUCAUAUUCUAGAACUUUAUUUAAUAAUUUAAACUUUUAGAUUGAGAUGGUUAUUUGAUAAAAUUGACAUGAUAAGGUACCAAUUAAGUCUGUGUCUUUAUGUGGACAAGAUUUCUAUUUUCUUGCCUAACUACAAAGUUUACUUGAAAUGGUAGUGAUUGAUUAUCCUUUCCUAGUUGUUUGAAAAGUAAUACGCACGUGCCAGCAAUGGCCCUGCAGGUAAUGGCGCCACAAAUGGUUUGGGAAAUUAAACUCCUUGCCCUCUCUAGGGCCUAGAUUUGUCUCCGCUGAUAGUGUGCUAAAGAAUUUAAAAGAAUUGGUAUUAGUAUUGUGAGUUUGAAGAAAAUUAGAGAAAUGAAAAAAAAAUGAGGGCGGCUAAAUUAUGGCUCUGUAAUUGGCUCUUCCAUAGACUGUAGUGGUCAGCGCCUUUGGAUUGCAAACAUCUAUGCUUCUAGAAAUCUUGAACUUCCAGUUUGUUAAGAGUUUUUAUCUAGUCACCCACGAUGGUCUGUAAUGAACUGAACAACCUAGUCAUUGAGAAGCCUAUAACACUUUAUGCAAGUCUCCAAGUGAACAAAUUUGCAGAUUAUGCUUGUCUCCUAGCAUUGAAAAUUCCCACGUUCGUAAAGCUUUUGAGGAUACUAUGAAGCUCAUCCCAUAUGAUUCCCAUCUAUCGAGUGCUGUAACAUCACAAUUCAAAGUUAAAACUUCAUGUUGAUUCAAAAAAAACUAAUGUUAAGAUAUCCAAAAGCCUUGAAAUGAUUUGAGAAUUUCAAGUGUUAGACAAAAAAUCCACCAUGAGUGAUUGGAUGUUCAAAUAUCUUAUGCGCUGCGACAAGGUCGGAUGUUAGAAAUAUGGGUGAACUCUCCCUCCAGUUUUUAUAAAACACUUUAAAAAAAAAAAAAAUCAUGAGGUUGCCUUCUUCACUCUCGCCUGUAAUAUGGGCUCUCAAAAUUGAAUGUGGAGCUGGAACCACUCGUCUCAUUAUCUUCAAGAUCUUCUAAAUCCUUAUUUAUUAAGUAAUGGUCACUUUUGAAACUUCCCUUUACAAAUCUUUAUUCACUAAGUUAUGACAGUUUUGUUCUUGGGCAGAACCUCCUCAACCAUAAUUAAUUCCCCUCUGCCAUAACCAUGUUUUGCGUUGUGAUCUCUAGCCAUAGUAGUUCAGCAACAUUAAAAAAAAGAAGGAACAAUAGGAUAUGAUACCAACUUGCACAAUUUAAACUAAUUAGACUGGGAAUAAAAAAAAAACAUGGGAAGAUAGAAUUCACCAAAAGGGCCAAACAAGAACCCUAGCUACAUUGUUAUUUUCAGAAUAUAUUCCUCCACCAAAAUCUACCUCAUAAAAAUAUUUUCAAUAACUUAAAUAGGUCUAUCUUCUCGAUCAAAAUGGAAAAAAUAAUCUUACAUGGAUAGAAAAAUUAAAAGCUAAAAUUUGAAAUAAAUAAAAACUAAAACUAAAAAAAAUAGCAAUUUAUAAAUCUAAUUUGAAAGUCUUGAUAACCUCAACGAGCCAAUAUUUCACUAUAGAAUAGAUCUGCAUAAUCUUUUAAUGAAAUUUAAAUAUGAUCUAAUAAUUAAAUAAAAUAUUAUGUUUAUUUUUAUCAGAAAUGUUAUUUGGAGUGACUAAAUCUUUUCUUGAGUUUGAACUUUUUAUUUAAUCCAUAAAUGUAUUUAUUAGGUAUUUUAUAUACUCUGAUUAUUAUUCUUGUACAUUAAUAUUAGGAAUAACCACAAUAAAUAUUGGUAUGGGAAAUUAAACUCCUUAGAAUUACCUUACCCAACUCUGAAGCCCUAGAUGUACAUGGCGUGGUAAAGGAUUUAAAAGAUAUGGUAUUAGUGUAUGGGAAAGAAAUUAAACUGAGAACUUGGCUCUGCCUCGGUGCUCAGUACCAUUCGAUCUCUAACAUCUAUGCAUGCUUCUAGAAAUUUUGAGCUCCUAGUCCGUUCAAAGUUUUUUUUAGCAGCCUUCCUUGAUGAUCUAUAUGAACCGAACAAUCAAGUCAUUGAGAAGCCUACAACACUUAGCCUAGUCCCUAACUUUGUGGCGCAUUGAGUGGAAGAAAUUUUCAACGUUUGACUCCAAGUAGUCACUCAUUUACGCUGUUUAGAAUCCAAGUUAAAUUUCCAUGUUGAUAAAAAAAAUAAAGUUAAGAUGGCAAAAUUCGCUGAAUCCGUACUUCAUGAAAUUUUAAUUAUUACAUAGGAAAAUACAUGUCCAAAGUUAAAAACACAUUAUAUUAUUCAAUGAACUGUAAUAUAAAUUGAUAGUUGAAAUAUAAGGUUGUGUUGCACUCAUGAAAUGAAAUGAUAGAAAGAUCUGAUUUAGUGUUAGGUUUUAAGCCAAUAGAAUUAGUUUGAAAGGAUAAUAUUAAUUGUUUUUUAAAAUGAUUUUUUGUUUGAAAAUAUAUUUAAAAAAUAUAUUAUUUUUAUAUUAGGACAUCAAAAUAAUAUAAAAAUAACAAAAAAAUUAAUUUAAAAUAAAAUAAAAUUAAUUUUUUAAAAAAUACUUUUAAAACCUAAACAAUUUUCUCAGUCUUGUCUUCUAACAUAAAAAUAUAUAUAUAUAUUAUGAAGCCAACAGUAUCAAUCACAUAAUCCAUUAUCUGUCAGAGUCUCGGUACUUGAGGGAUUUGAUCCCAUAUGACACAAGCCUGGUGACUUUACUAAUCAGCUCUUUUCUAGGUUUCUUGCGGGUUUUUUUUAUCAGUAAUCCUUCUCCAAUUUGUCGUCUCAAACUGGUUUUUAAUAUCUAUUUGAUGAUCAAAGAAAAGAAAAGGCCUAAUCAUCUAACAAGUAGUUUUAAUUCUAUUUCUGUAUAUUUCUACUUAAAAUAUAUUAAAAAAUAAUAUAAAUCAUAUAUUAAAACUUUAUUUAAUAAUUUAAGUUAUUAAGUUAAGAUGAUUCUUUAACAUGAUAUCAAAGUAUUGAUGACCAAGUGGUCAUGAGUUUAAAUCUCAUUAUCUCUAUUCAUUUGAUAAAAAAUAAGCACAAGGUAAUAUGGUCUUGUGGAAGUUUAAAGCCCAAAGAGCUUUCAAUUGAAAGGGUGUGUUAGAGAAUAAUAUAAAUCAUAUCUUGAGAUCUUAUCUAACAGUUUAAACUUGUGGGUUAAGAUGAUUUUUUGACAGAGUAAAAAUAUAAGCAUAGUAAUAAAUAUCUUCCAAGUUUAUUACUGCGGAUCAACUCAACAACCUACCAAUUAAAUAUUUUAUUUUAUUUUAAAUUGGUUUUUUUAUGAAAAUAAUAUAAAAUAUUUUAAAAAAAUCAUAAUUUAGAAUGACUUGCCAACCCUUCUACGAACCGAAUCUCGGAUUGGAUUGAUAUCUAGUUUGUAGUUUAUAACUAAGAACGUGAGAUGUAUCUCUUGCCAUCAAGGCAUUUAGAAUUUUCAUAUCUAUCGCUAUAAGGUGCUUUGUAGUUUCAUAAAACUUUGCUUAGUGAACCUACUUUUGUCGUUAUAAGUCAUCUAAGCAGACCCGUAUUCUACACGCACAAAUAUGCAUAAAAAUCUACAUGCUAUCCUGCUAUAUAUGGCCCAAACCAAACCUUAUUUUUCCAUCCAGAUUUUUUACCCUUAAUUAAAUAAAAAAACACCUUGCUUACCUUAUGUUUUCUCUUAACAUGGGAAACAAUGUACUAUCCAUCAUUCUGGCUAUGAUGCUGGCUGUAACCAUGCCGCAGUUGAUAGUGUCUCAAAAUUGUGGUUGUGCUCCCAACUUGUGCUGUAGUCAGUUUGGCUUCUGCGGCACCGGUGAUGCUUAUUGUGGCCAAGGAUGCCGGGAGGGACCUUGUACCUCAGCACCUAGUACCCCUAGCACGCCUAGUAACAAUGAUGUUACGGUGGCUGAUGUUGUUACACCGGAAUUCUUCAACGGUAUAAUCAAUCAAGCCGGGGGAGAUUGUGCCGGGAAGAGCUUCUACACACGAGAUGCGUUUCUCAGUGCCCUCAAUUCUUAUUCUCAGUUUGGCAAGAUUGGAUCAAAUGACGAUUCCAAACGUGAGAUUGCAGCAUUUUUUGCUCACGUCACGCAUGAGACCGGACGUAAGAUCUCUUAAAUCUCAUCUAUAUAUAUAUAUGUAUAUUGUCACACAUCACACCUUCAGUAAACAACAUAAUAAUAAUAAUAAUAAUCAUAUAGCAGUUAAAAACUUUAUUAACAUGCAUACAAACUUGGAAAUGCUAUAGUUGCUAGAGAAUGAUCGUUAUGAUAUGAACACAAGCAUAACCAUACAUCUCAAAGUUAACAAAUGGAUGUGUUUUGCUUGGUUUACAGACUUCUGCUACAUAGAAGAAAUAAACGGUGCCUCUCAGGACUACUGUGAUGAGACCAAUACACAGUAUCCAUGCAACCCGAACAAGAAAUACUUUGGCCGUGGACCUCUUCAACUAACAUGGAAUUACAAUUACGGGGCGGCUGGAGGGGCAAACAACUUUGAUGGACUAAACUCUCCUGAAACUGUGGCCAAUGAUCCUGUUGUGUCGUUCAAGACUGCCUUAUGGUUUUGGAUGACUAAUGUCCGCCCUGUGGUCACUCAAGGGUUUGGUGCGACGAUUAGAGCCAUUAAUGGUGCAGUUGAAUGUAAUGGUGGAAAUUCUGGUGCUGUUCAAGCUCGAAUUGGGUAUUACACAGAUUAUUGUAACCAGUUUGGCGUUGCACCUGGCGAUAAUCUAAGCUGUUAGGUUACAUUAUGCAUAUUAUAGUAUAGCAAUGAAAUGAAAUGGAAUCUACCUUCUGCCAUUUCUCGAAUGUAAGGUGGGAUACCCAGUGGUGUUCUGUAACUCUCGAUCGAGUUCGAUGUAUUUCUUGGAAUGGAUUUUAUAGAUAAAUAAAUGAAAUAAAGGCAUCACAUAAUUGAUUUUGCUUAUAAUGUAUUUGCUGGCUUAAUCGUUGUUAUGUUCAUUGCAAUUGCAAGUUUCUUGUUUAGGUUUUUUUUAUAUAUAUAUAAUCCUUAAUCACUAAUGAAAGUUUUGUUCUUGGGCAGAACCUCCUCAACCAUAAUUAAUUCCCCUAUGCCAUAAUCAUGUUUUGCGUUUUGAUCUCUAGCCAUAGUUGUUCAGAAACAUUAAAAAAAAAAAAAAAAAAAACAGGAACAAUAGGAUAUGAUACCAACUAGCACAAUUUAAACUAAUUAGACUGGCAAUAAAAAAAAACAUGGGAAGAUACAAUUCACCAAAAGGGCCAAACAAGAACCCUAGCUACAUUGUUAUUUUCAGAAUAAUAUUCUUCCACCGAAAUCUACCUCAUAAAAAUAUUUGCAAUAACUUAAAUAGUUCUAUCUUUAACCUCAAUCAAAAUGAAAAAAAUAAUCCUACAUAGACAGAAAAAUAAAAGGCUAAAAUUCAAAAUAAAUAAAAAUUAAAACUAAAAAAAUAACAUUUUUAAAAUUUAAUUUGAAAAUCUUUCUAACCUCAACAGAUGACAACGAGACGAUAUUCCACUAUAGAAUAUGCCUGCAGAAUCUUUUAAUGAAAUUUAAACAUGAUUUAAUAAUUAAAUAAAAAAUUAUGUUUAUUUUCUUGAAACAUAUUGUUUGGAGGGACUAAACUUUUUCUUAAAUUUGGAUUUUUUAUUCGAUCCAUAUAUAUAUAUCUAUUAGAUUUUUUAUAUACUCUAGUUACAACAAAUUUAUAUCUGAUUAUGAUUAUUAUUCUUGUAGAUUAAUAUUAGCAAUAACGAACAAUAUUGGUAUGGGAAAUUAAAUUCCUUAUAAUUACCUUACCCAACUCUCAAGCCCUAGAUGUACAUAGUGUGGUAAAGGAUUUAAAAGAUAUGGUAUUAGUGUAUGGGAAAGAAAUUAAAAUAAAUUGAGAACUUGGCUCUGCCUCGGUGCUCAGUACCAUUUGAUUUCUAACAUCUAUGCUUCUAGAAAUUUUGAACUCAUAGUUUGUCCAAAGUUUUUUUUAGCAGCCUUCGUUAAUGAUCUAUAUGAAACGAACAAUCAAGUCAUUGAGAAGCCUACAACACUUAUGGCACGUUGAGUGGAAGAAAUUCUCAAAGCCUACAACACUUAUGGCACGUUGAGUGGAAGAAAUUCUCAAAGCCUACAACACUUAUGAAAUUUUAAUUAUUACAUAGGAAAACCCACGCCCAAAGUUUAAAACACGUUAUUCAAUGAACUGUAAUAUAAAUGGAUAUUUGCAAACAACAUUCUCUCUAUUAGUUUCUAACAUACCAAAGAAAAUUUACGAAGCCAACAUUAUCGAUCGCAUAAUCCAUUAUCUGUAGGGGUCUCGAUACUAGAGGGAUUUGAUCCCAAAUCACACAAGCCUAGUAACUUUACUAAUCAGCUCUCUUUUUAGGUUUCUUCCGAGUUUUUUAUUAGUAAUUCUUCUCCAAUUUGUCGUCUCAAGCUGGUUUUUACUGUCUAUUUGCUAAUGAAGUCAAAGAAAAGAACAUGCAAUCCCCCCUAUUUAUAGGUUAUGGAAGAAGGUAAUAUUUUCUUCACCCGGGAAAAUUUUCAAUCCUUAAUUCAGAUGGAAAUGAUCACAACCGUUGACUUAAAAUAAGCAUGAACUGUAUAAAUUUACAGUUAGUGGCUGCUUGAGCUGGCCUCUUUAGGUUGGCACCGGACCUCUAUGGUGUUAAUCAACCUAAACAGACCAUACCAGGGUGUAAAAGGAUGUCAGGUGAUCAUUUACAUGCAAGUUUUGUGAAGGUUAGAUGCAUUAAAUGCACCUAUGAAGUUGUUUUCUAAGCUAUCAUUUCAGUGAAAAUUAAAGAAGAAGAUGAACAAUAACCAAAACAGCGCCAUUUUGGUAACAUUCACUUUAGCCAUUUGAUUUCUAAUUUGUCUCAAUUACACCCUUGAUUGACUUCAAAUUUUUAAUUUUAUGUAAUCUCAUCCCUAGAAAAACCUCAAUGUCAGCCUCGGAUAUCGCAAUGACGACGAUUAAAAAUAAUCUAAGAAAAGAAAAGAUAUCUAACAUCUUAAUCUUUGAAAAAAAAGGUCUAGUUUAAGGAGUCACCACCUAGUAUUACAAUCAGUACCAACCCUAAUUGAUCAACACAAAUUAUAUGGUACGGGACUGGUUACAUGAAAUGAAAUAUACUAUCACCCCUUAAGCGUCUUACUUAAAGCAAGCUACAUUGUUGGUUUUGUCUUAAAUUGCUAAGAGUUUGUCUUUGUUCCAUUUUUAAGGUCAUCCUAUAAUAUUCUCAACUCUGACAUCAAUAAUUAUUCACUGAUGAAUAUUUUCAACUCUAGCGUUGGUAAAUAUUGCGCAAUUCACAAAUUACAGUAUUUCUGACUAUAACGUCAGUGAAUAAGUCUGUAAAUUUCAAAUUCUAAAAAAGCAAGAAACAAAUUUUUUAUUUUUUUCUGGUCGGAUCUAGGUUGGUCGUACAGGCUGGGCUUGAUCCAGCUAGCCCGAGCUUGGUCACUGAAAUGCAACAAGCAUAUCUAAAUUAUAAUUCAUGUAUGGGUGUAUAGCAAGAAUGUAAUUAAAAUGGCAACGGUGAAGGGCCAAGAAUAAAAUUAAAAAUCAAAAAAAUAAAAAUCAAAUUUAAAGUAUCAAUAACUAAAAUGACAAUAUUGAAAUUCUAAAUGGCUAGUGCGAUUUUUGAGAGGAAAAGAGAGAGAAAAGAGUGGGGAAAAAGCCUCACCAACAACAAUUCAUCAUACCACCAUCACCACGUGCCACCCCACCAAAAAUAAUAAGCUGCAAAGAUUUCAACAACAUAAUGAAAGAGCUUUUUAACCACUGUGACGCAUUGUGUGUUCUGACAAAGAUUGUGGGCGCCUCCCACACGUUGGAGCAUAAGUUGUAUAAAUCAUCAACUUUUCUAUUUUAAUAUUAUUUUAUUUUUAUUAAAAGAUUAAAUUACCAUCAACCAAUUUAAUAAUAACAAAUAAAAAAACAUAGUAAAAAAACAUAAAAGUUCCUAUAUGCAAGCUUUAGAAAUUUUGCAAGUCUUUUUAUUGUUCCUAAAAUAGUGAAUUGAUGUGAAAGCCCUUCAAAGUUAGUUUCAAUAAUUUUGCUUUGAAGAGUAAAUUAAUAAUUUCAUUUUUAUUAUUAAUAAUUUCAUUUUUAUUAAAAAAAUAAAAAAGACAACCGCUCAAUAUAAUAAUUAAUAAUAAAUCAUGUACGAAAAGAAAAAACAAUCCCCAAUGUAAAAGCCAUUGGUUUUUUUGAGAAGGGUAAAUAGAUAACUAUACUGUAGCUUGGUAAAAUAUUUCUAUGCCAUAGUAUUUUCACCUUUUUGUUUUAGCUUUAUCAUUUUUUUUGUUAUAUUGCUAGACAUCUUUUAACCGCAGCUAAUAGUAUUCACAGCAACAAAUAUAACUAAAAGCAACCAAGUAAUCACUACAUAGAUCCUUAAUGUGUUAUUAAAUAUUAUAAGAGAUUUAAAUAAAAUAUAUAUGUGUAUAUAUAUAUAUAUAUAAAAAAAAGGUUCAUACACAAAAUUUAUAUGGUUUAAGGGCCACACUUUCUAAAAAAAUUAAUUUUUUUCUUCAAAUUAAAUAUUACUAUUUGAGAGUAAUUGAGUUUAUCUACUGAAUUUAUCAUCCAAUCUGUUUGCAACGCGAAGCCCCAUGUAUCUCAAGCCCGUCAUACUAUAUUCCAAAUGAAGGCCCAAAAACGAUGGGCCAUUAUGACGACAGCUGUUCAGCACUUCAUUUAGGCCCCCGUCUUUCAAAUGAAAUGCAAUUACAAUUUCAGGAUGUGUUAGCAACAAUUCCACGACGUCGCAUCCAAUGUUUCUCAGAGGCAUGAAAGCACAAGGCUAAGCUUCUCUCUUCAAGUGGAAGUCUAGCAUGUUGAAGAUGAAUGUGAGGUGGAAUCCCAAGGCUCAUUGGACUCUGGAAUCAGACAAGGGAAUCUUCGUUGUUUAACAUCUUCAAAUUCUGUUGUUGAGGCAGAGGUGCAGGGAACGUUGAAAACUGGGCAGGCAUUGGGCUUUGGAAUGUUGAGGACUUGUAACAUCCAUUAGAGGCCAGGUGGACAGAGAGCUGGAAGAUUGGAAUGACGACCAAUAAUGCCAUUUUGCAGCUCGACAGUGGAUAUGUAUUACCUUCUUUCUUAAUGAAGAUCUUAUUCUGGAAUAGUUGUGGAUUGGGUAUGUCUGUUAAGGGGGUAUCGAUUAGGAAUACUGUUCUGCAUAAUGACAUUGAGGCGUGUUUCCUGCCAGGAACUAAGAGGGCAAUGUGCUGUGACAAUUUUGUUCAUGCAUUAUAGAAUAACUUAUCAGUCAAAUGGUUUACACUUAAUUCAGUUGAUUAUAUUAGGGUGGAGGUAUUUUGGCUACUUGGGAUGAAAGUAAUUUCAUGGUUCAUUUAGCCGGAUAUCAAACUAGAAUUGACAUAAAAAUUAUGGUUAAGAUAUAAGGGUGUGUUUUGCCAAACACACCCUUAGUAAAUAUGGACUAGGCAGGUUGGAUUUGAAGCCCAAACCUGGCCAACAUUUUCUUUUUUUUUUAUUGGGUAAGAUCUAGCCUAACCAUCCGAGUUGGGCUCGACCCAGCUGGUCAACAUGGUUAUUGGCCUAAGCCAGUAACCUAGUUUGUGCAAUAUUUAAUUUUUUAUAGGCAGAAUAACAAAAAGAAAAAUGGCUUUAAAAAUUUCUUCUUCAAAUUCAAUUUUUUACCUGGUUUACAAUCCAUGUGAAUUAAAAUGAGAGCUGAGGAAGAAAGAAGACUUACCUAGCUUGCAAAAGCAUUGCCCGAGAUUGCAAGCGCUGGUCGAAGCUCUUGUCUUCAAGUUUUCUCCUAUUCCUUGUUCAUUUUAUUUUUUUUCAGCUUCUCUCGUUAUAUCUCUCUUGUCUCUCUCUCUCUUUUUCUUUUUUUUUUUUGUCUUUCCUUCUCUCUUUUUUUCUCCACUACCCACUCUCCUUUUUCUUUCUUUUUUUGUUACACCAUGGUGUGGCUUUUCACUAGCCUUUUAUAAGGCCAGAACAAAUGGUUGUUCCCCAGUACGUCUCUUUUUUCCUGGGAGGAGGAUAAGUCUUAGGGUGUUAGUCUUUUGCUGGGACUUGGAUGCGAGAUUCGAUCCUUAUCAUCCUAGGAUUGUGACCUUCAUGAAGAUAGGGAUUAAUCCUUGUGUUUUGGUAGACCUAGGAUGUUGGCAUUUCAAUUUAUUUCCCUUCUUUGCAAGCGAAUUUGUAGUGUUAGAGGAAGAAGAAGAAGAAUUGUGCAUGGUUGAAACGGCGUCGUUUUGGAUUGGGAAUGAACAUUUUCAAUUUGAUCCUUAAAGUUUUGAAAUUUCCUAAUAUGGCCCCUAAAGUUCAACACCUUUUACAAAAUGGUCCCUAAUUUCUAAUUUCUUGCAAUUUUGACCCAAAUCAACCCUGAAUUAUAAUAUUUCUUCAAUUAGGCCUUGACUCCAUUAAUUAAACUAGCUCUAAGCUUAAUUAAGUCCCCAAAUUUAUCAAUUCUAUGAUUAAGCUCGUAAUUUCAUUAAUUAAAUUAAUUUAAAGUUUAAUUAAGUCUCCAAACUUAUCAAUUUUUCCAAAUUCUAGCAAAGUCAAACCCUAAAUUUAUAAUUUCACCCUGACUAGAUCCUCAAGACUUUCAAUUUGUAUUGUCUUCACCCAAAUCUCAAUUUUUUCUCCAUUCAUUUCAUUUUUUCGAUGAAUUUAUGUUGUCAAAAAUUAAGUUACGACAACUGUAUCCAAUAAAUUAAAAGUCAUCAUGCCUGAUAUUAGUAGUGUUAAUCAAACAACUUUUUUCAUCUCUAGUAGGCAAAUUUUAGAUGGUUUCGUGAUGGCUAAUAAAAGUGUACAUAGUAUCAAGAAAAGUGGGAAACAUAGUUUUGUUAUGAAAGUGGACUUCCAUAAGACUUUUAAUUCUGUUGUUUAAGAGUACCUAGAGGAAGUGAUGUUAUAUGUGAGUUUUUGAAGGAGGCGGAUUUCUCUAAUACAUAAAUGCAUUACGGGAUCUAAAUUAGCUAUUCUUAUUAAAGGUUCACCAAUCAUGAAGUUUAGAGUAGAACGAGAACUACGUCAAGGCAAGAAUAACUAUCGCCUUUUUUUUUUUACAUAGAUGUGGAAGGGUUAUUAGUUAUGUUUAUGAGAGCUUCCACUUCCGGAUUAUUUAAAGGAAUCCAUUGUGAAAAUGAGAUAUAUAUGAGUCAUUUGAAAUAUACAAAUGAUACCUUAUUAUUUAUUCCUAAUUAUUUCACUUUGAUAACUAAUGCUAAAAGGAUUUUGAGGUGGUUUGAAUUGACUUUAGGUCUAAAAUUUAACUUUCAUAAAAGUUCACUAGUUGACAUCAACCUAGAUGAUGAAUUUAUGAUAGGAAUAACAAAUGUGAUAUAUUGCAAAUGGGACACACUACUUGUCCGAUACUUAAGCCAGAUCUUUGGGGGCAAACCCGAAAAGACUCUUCACUUGGAAGCCUAUCAUAAAUAGCAUCCAGACAAGACUGGUUCAUGAAAAGAAUGUUUAUUGAGCAUGACAAGAAGUGUCUAAUUAAAUUUGUGUUGUCCUCCCUUUCCUUGUAUGUACAUGUCCAUCUUUCUUAUGCCAAAGGGAGUUGUUAGGGUUAUUAAUUUGAUCAAGAGGAGGUUCUUGUGUAGUGGGGAUUUUGGUGCAAGGAAAAUAUAUAAAGUUGCUUUGUAGGUGGUUGUAAGGGGGAAAAUAGAGGGGGUUUGGGCAUUGGCUCAUUGGAAGGCAAGAACAAGGCAUUGCUAUUUAAAUGACUCUUGAGGCUAGGGGAAAGCAAUUUGAGAGGUUGGUAAGAGCAUAUCUACAAAAGAUAUCAGGCUACUAUUAUUAAUGGCCUCUCACUUCUUAAAUAAUCUUUUUCUGAAACAUGGCACUCUAUCUAUUUUGUUAUCAGCACGGACUCUAAAAUAGAAGUGACUUUGAAGAACAAUUGAUGGUUUUAGAUUGGCAAUGAAAGCAACAUUCACUUCUAAACAGACAAGCGGCUAGCUGGUAGGCUGUUAAAAGAUUUUUAUUUGUGCCUUUUCUCCUUUAUCACAACACCUUCUCCUUGCUUGUAGAUAUGGGGGCAAUGCUGCGACUUGGUGGAAAUGGAGACUUCACUAAAAAGAUGCUUGUGGACAUUAGAAAAAGAGAAAUUAAGUAACAUGAAUCAAAUGUUCGUAAGGGUAAUAUUGCAGUCGAUUAGAGGUGAUAAAAAAAUAUGGGCAAGAGACAUAAUCGAGGCCUAUAUGUCAAUUCUGACAGUGAUUUAAUAGAUAACAUUCUAUUUCUAGGAAACUUCAUAUUCACUUCACUUUUAUGGAAAUGAUCUACCCACCAAAUGUAGAAAUGUUUAUAUGGAUAUUGUUCCAAAGCAUAAUAUGUACAAGAGCCUUUCUACCACACUGUCAUUUAGGACAACCCAGUCAAGCUAUAUAUCCCUUUUAUGAACAUGAAAAAGAGAAUGCUCCUCAUCUUUUCCUUCAUUGCUACCACAUGUGGAGAUUAUGACAAUGAUUUUUGAGUUGGUCUGAUGCCUCUGGUGUAUGCCAAAUACAAUAGAUCAAGUGAUCUGGCAAUGGAGCAACAUGGUCGAAGGUAAGUUCUAGUAAAAUGCAUUUACAAUGUUAUCAUAUGGAAUUUUGUAGGGGUAUUUAGACUGCAAGAAACAAGCUGAUCUUCAAAGAUAAAAAGCUUGAUUGGAAUACAUUGUUUCAACUCAUACUCUAUUGACUUACACUUUGGUUAAAGGUCUGGAAUAAUAAUUUUUCAUACACAAAAAAUGAUUUGAUUAGAGAUCUUGGAGGCAUUUUAACAUGUUCUAAUAAGUGAUGAGUAAUUGGUUGUAGGAGCUUGUUAUUAGCAUCUCCUUUGUAACUUCCUUUUAUGUUUUUAUCUACGAUUUCAUGUUCAUCAUAGUCUUAAUGGUAUACUGGUUUUAUCAAUAAAUAACUCGAUUGAGUUGGUGUAGUUCCUUUCCCUUUGGCUAUAGGUUUUUAAGUUUCUUUAGUUUGGUAAUUCAUCAAACGCAAAUUAAGCUCUUACAAAUAGGAAAUGUAUGGUUGGAAAAAAGUUAGGAAGUGAUAAUUAUCAGCACAUACCAAGCCAAAUAAGACUAUCUGAUGUAACUUGAACAGUUUAGUUUAAUUAGUCAGAAUUUGUUCUCUAAAUAUUACCAUUUCAAGUUUCACAAAUUUAAUGGUCACUAGAUACUUAUAUAAUCGUUAACUUCAGAGUCUCAAAGGAUUAAUCGAGGUGCGCUCGAACACUCACAAUUAAAAAAAAAAAAAAAAAGAUUAUCUGAUGUAGAAAUAGACACAUGCUACUAAAUAGGAUUGUGUCUGAUGUAGUAAUAAAGUUUCUACCUUUUAUGGUAUAUAAAUGUCUGACCACUUCAAAAACAUGUCACGUAAGGACAUUAAUGUCAUUAUCCUAGAUAUUUUUGCUAAACUUUAUAGACUAAAUUAUAAUCAACACAUAUAUAUUUUACACGUAAAAUUAUAGACCUCGUCCACCUUGUGCCUCUAUAAAUAGCUUAACAUCGACCUUAUCACCACACAUCACAAGAAAUUCCUUUCUCUCUUUGCAUAACAAUAUCAAAACUCCCUUCAGGAGUAGCGAAAAUGAGAAGCAAUAUUCUACUUACCAUUAUCUUAGCCAUAGUUCUUGCAGGAGCCCUGCACAAGAAUGUGGUAGAGGCUCAGAAUUGUGGCUGUGCUGCAAACCUUUGUUGCAGUCAAUAUGGCUACUGUGGCACUGGCAAUGCCUAUUGUGGUCAGGGAUGUAAACAAGGGCCCUGUACUUCAUCACCUACGCCUACUACCCCUAGUGGGAGUGGUUCUGUUGCUGAUAUUGUUACGCCUGCUUUCUUCAAUGGUAUAAUCAACCAAGCUGCUGCAAGCUGUGCUGGGAAGAAUUUCUAUACAAGAAAUGCAUUUCUCAGUGCUGUCAAUUCAUAUUCUCAAUUUGGUAAACUUGGUUCAGCUGAAGCUUCUAAGCGUGAGAUUGCAGCCUUCUUCGCUCAUGUUACUCAUGAGACUGGACGUAAGUUCCUCUUCCAUCCCUAAUAACAUUUCUCGCAGCAUUUGAAUAGCAAGCAUGAUAGCCAACAGUAUUCUGUCUGUCUAUCUAUCUUUUCCACAAAUACAUUUGUCCGCAUAUGGAUUUUGUCAACAAAGUGAACUGUCUAUUAAGCUCCUCGUGUGUAAACUGACAAGAGAAAAUGUCUUAUUUUGCAGACUUCUGCUAUACAGAAGAGAUAAAUGGUGCUUCCCGUGAUUACUGUGAUGAAAACAACAGGCAAUACCCAUGUGUUGCAGGCAAGAAAUACUAUGGCCGCGGACCAAUCCAACUAUCAUGGAACUACAACUAUGGGCCAGCCGGAAGGAGCAACAGCUUUGAUGGAUUGAACAAUCCUGACAUUGUAGCUAGGGAUGCUGUUGUGUCAUUUAAGACGGCCUUAUGGUUUUGGAUGAACAGUGUUCGUCCUGUUGUAAGCCAAGGUUUUGGAGCAACUAUUCGAGCCAUUAAUGGCAUGGAAUGCAAUGGUGGAAACACAGGUGCUGUUCAGGCUCGUGUUAAAUAUUAUAGAGAUUAUUGCAGUCAACUCGGCGUUUCUACUGAGAAUAACCUCACUUGCUAAGUUCUUAAAUAACCUGAGUUGUUAUGCCAAGUUAUGGCUAAUCAUAUGAAAAUAAGAUGUACUGCUAUGAAAU
rnacentral:lncRNA from 1 species